AUUGAACGCUGGCGGCAUGCCUUACACAUGCAAGUCGAACGGCAGCACGGGAGCAAUCCUGGUGGCGAGUGGCGAACGGGUGAGUAAUAUAUCGGAACGUGCCUAGUCGUGGGGGAUAACGCAGCGAAAGCUGUGCUAAUACCGCAUACGAUCUAUGGAUGAAAGCGGGGGAUCGCAAGACCUCGCGCGAUUGGAGCGGCCGAUAUCAGAUUAGCUAGUUGGUGAGGUAAAGGCUCACCAAGGCGACGAUCUGUAGCUGGUCUGAGAGGACGACCAGCCACACUGGAACUGAGACACGGUCCAGACUCCUACGGGAGGCAGCAGUGGGGAAUUUUGGACAAUGGGCGAAAGCCUGAUCCAGCAAUGCCGCGUGCAGGAUGAAGGCCUUCGGGUUGUAAACUGCUUUUGUACGGAACGAAACGGUGAGCUCUAAUACAGUUUGCUAAUGACGGUACCGUAAGAAUAAGCACCGGCUAACUACGUGCCAGCCGCCGCAGUAACAC
rnacentral:rRNA from 1 species